rnacentral:rRNA from 1 species
UACGUAGGGUCCGAGCGUUGUCCGGAAUUAUUGGGCGUAAAGGGCUCGUAGGCGGUUCGUCACGUCGGGAGUGAAAACUCGGGGCUUAACCCCGAGCCUGCUUCCGAUACGGGCAGACUAGAGGUAGGCAGGGGAGAGCGGAACUCCUGGUGUAGCGGUGGAAUGCGCAGAUAUCGGGAGGAACACCGGUGGCGAAGGCGGUUCUCUGGGCCAUUACUGACGCUGAGGAGCGAAAGCGUGGGGAGCGAACAGG